CUUUGACCUCAGAACAGGUAGGGAUACCCGCUGAACUUAAGCAUAUC
rnacentral:rRNA from 1 species